rnacentral:snRNA from 1 species
UUAGUCACUUUCACUGCAU